GACGAACCACACAAACGUUAUUCGGAAUUACUGGGCUUAAAGGGUGCGUAGGCUGCGCGGAAAGUUGGGUGUGAAAUCCCUCGGCUCAACCGAGGAACUGCGCCCAAAACUACCGUGCUCGAGGAGGAUAGAGGUGAGCGGAACUUACGGUGGAGCGGUGAAAUGCGUUGAUAUCGUAAGGAACACCCGUGGCGAAAGCGGCUCACUGGGUCUUUUCUGACGCUGAUGCACGAAAGCUAGGGGAGCAAACGGG
rnacentral:rRNA from 1 species